rnacentral:rRNA from 1 species
UACAGAGGUCUCAAGCGUUGUUCGGAUUCAUUGGGCGUAAAGGGUGUGUAGGUGGCGCGCUAAGUCGGGUGUGGAAUUUCGGAGCUUAACUCCGAAACUGCAUUCGAUACUGGCGUGCUUGAGGACUGGAGAGGAGACUGGAAUUCAUGGUGUAGCAGUGAAAUGCGUAGAGAUCAUGAGGAACACCGAUGGCGAAGGCAGGUCUCUGGGCAUUAACUGACGCUGAGGAGCGAAAGCAUGGGGAGCGAACAGG